rnacentral:lncRNA from 1 species
UUUUCUCUUUUCCUUCAAAAAAAGAAAAAAAAAGAAAAAAAGAAAAAAAGAAAAGAAACACAAAACUUAAAGCAGCAUCCUGAUUUGGCUCUUUCACUAAAAUGUUGAAUUCCCAAGACAAUGUUGAAGUUAACAGCACCUGCCAGACUCUACUUAACAAACACAAAAGCAACAAAACUAAAACCAGAACAUUUUUCUUUUGUUUCCCCACAAACUCGUCCUCAAUUCACAACACAACAACAACACAAUCAGCAACACUUGCAACAACAAAAACAAAAACACUUGAUGCAUAUCCUACAAAACAGCCAAACACCAAACAACAUUACCACUCAAAUCCACUCUCACUUACUCACCACUAACUCACUGCUACACCACUCACAACUCUUCAACACUCUUCUUCACUUCUACUCGCUCGCUGACUCACCUCAAAAAGCUUUCUUGCUCUACAAACAACUUCAACAAAUUUACACACACUCUCACUCUCCAUUGCCGCCUCUCUUUGACAGCUUCACUUACUCUUUCCUUAUCAGAACCUGCGCUACUUUAAGCCAUCCUAACUUGGGUACCCAGCUUCAUGCUGUUAUUUCCAAAGUGGGUUUUCAAUCUCAUGUUUAUGUGAACACUGCUUUGGUUAAUAUGUAUGUUUCGUUAGGGUUUUUGAAGGACAGUUCUAAAUUUCUUUAGGGAUUUUGAAGGACAGUUCUAAACUGUUCGAUGAAUUGCCGGAGAGAAGUUUGGUUUCGUGGAAUGUUAUGAUCACUGGUUUAGUGAAAUGGGGUGAGCUAGAAUUUGUGCGUUCUCUCUUUGAAGAGAUGCCUUGCAGGAAUGUUGUGUCGUGGACAGGGAUUAUUGAUGGUUACACCAGGAUGAAUCGGUCUAAUGAGGCGUUAGCUUUAUUUCGAAAAAUGGUUGCGUGCGAAUAUACAGAACCCAGUGAGAUAACUAUUUUGGCUGUUUUACCGGCUAUUUGGCAAAAUGGGGAUGUUAAGAGUUGUCAAUUGAUUCAUGGGUAUGGUGAGAAAAGAGGGUUUAACGCGUUUGAUAUACGUGUCUUAAAUUGUUUGAUUGAUACUUAUGCAAAAUGUGGCUGCAUAUUUAGUGCCUCAAAACUCUUUGAGGAUAUAUCAGUUGAGAGGAAAAAUUUGGUGUCUUGGACAUCGAUAAUAUCUGGGUUUGCAAUGCAUGGGAUGGGGAAAGAAGCAGUAGAAAAUUUUGAGAGGAUGCAGAAAGUUGGUUUGAAACCAAACAGAGUAACAUUCUUGAGUGUUUUGAAUGCUUGUAGUCAUGGAGGAUUGGUCGAGGAGGGGCUGAAGUUUUUUGAUAAGAUGGUUGAGGAGUGUGACGUUUUGCCAGAUAUAAAGCAUUAUGGGUGUUUAGUAGACAUGUUGGGAAGGGCUGGGAGGUUAGAACAAGCGGAGAAGGUUGCUUUGGGGAUACCGAGUGAGAUUACUAAUGUUGUUGUUUGGAGGACCCUUUUGGGUGCUUGUAGCUUUCACGGUAAUGUGGAGAUGGGUGAGAGGGUGACAAGGAAGAUAUUGGAAAUGGAGAGAGGAUAUGGAGGGGACUAUGUGCUUAUGUAUAACAUCUUUGCUGGGGUUGGGAGGUAUGGAGAUGCUGAGAGAUUGAGGAGAGUCAUGGAUGAGAGGAAUGCCCUCAAAGUUCCUGGCCGUAGUUUGGUGUAGCUAAUUGUGAACAUGAAUGGUAGCGAUCUGGAUGGAUGGUCCCUUAUUCCUUUACUUAUAUAAAGUUUUUAAAACAAUUUAUCACUGAGCCGAGAUUGGUUUCCUUUUCAAGGCCGACAUCGGCAAGGCACCUGAGAUGUUGCCAUUACCAAAGUUCUUUCAGCUUGUGAAAAGCACCCUCUUUUUUAACUUCAUUGAAGAAGGUAGGCAAUUCCUGUUCUGUACAUUUAGUUUUUGUUUCCUGUUUAACAUUCGGAAGAUUGAUUUUGUUGGUUUUAUUAGUAUUCACAUUCAAACAGCAAAAGAGAGUUGAUCUUUUUGUUUUCUUUACUCAAUUUUAUGAUUCUGAUAUAGUUACAAAGUUUUUUGUUCUCUAUAUUGUUCAGAUGGAUUGAUUUUCGGUAAAAUUAAUAAACUGUUCUUAUUUUUUCUUUGGCUUUUGCUCUUUUAGCUUUGUUGAAAAAGCAAAGUGAAAUGAUUCAUGAGCUAGCUCUUCAUUUUGCCCCUGAGCUAGGGUUUCAGAAAUCAAAAGCCAAUACAUAUUUAUUUGCUUUUUAUCAUUGUUUAUCUUCUUUUAUUUUAGUGUUUUGGUAUGUUUGAUUUUCUAUGUGAUAAUCAAUAGCUUACUAAUUACCACCGGGAAUUUAGGUCCCUGUAGUGGUGGCGUUUCAAAGUUCAAAGCAUUUUACGUAUUUCAAUUUCACUUGUUUUUCAUGCUUUAUCAUUCAACUAGAUAAAUUUACAGAUAGAAUUUUCAAACUGCGAAGAACAGCUAAUUCAUUCCUUUUUGGUUCAUUUCUGGCGGAUAAAGUACUUUUCCAGGUUUCAAAGAUGUAUAAUGAAAAAAAAUCUUUUACCAGCUAUGUCGACCUUAAAAUAUAGGCCAUUAAAGAUCUCGAAGCUGUCCUGACACUUAUUUUGAAAUGACAAGCUCAGAAAACACCAUGGACCAAAACCUCAAACCUAUUCCUAGAAGCUGAGAAUGUGAAGAAAUGGAGAAAUCUGCGAGAGUUUAGGCAGCUUCUGAGAAACCAAUGACUGAAAAAUAUUUCGCUGCACUCAGGACGGCCAGGACUAUUAGGUCUCAGCUGAAGAAAGAGGCCGCACCAAUGCAGCAAAUAAGCACCUCACUCUCUCAGGCUGCAGAGAAGGAACCUCAAUUUACAGGACUCCCUUUUGUGUUACUAAUGGCUUAAUUCAAUGUGACUGGAGAGAUCUCAAAUGAGGAUACAAUUGAGAAAACCAUCUCUUAUGGUGGAGAUUCCGGAUAGGCGUAACACCGACAUAGAGAUUAAGAAAAGCUUGUUGGAGCUGUAUCAAAUUUUCUUUGACAUGACUGUAAUGGUGGAGGUCAAGACUUUGAAGCACAAACAGAGAAGCAGCAGGAACUAUAUUGCUUGGGGACCAUACUUCUGGUGUUGAUCAUUCUUUUGGUUGUUAGCAGCUUUUGAAUUGUGAGCUUUGUAUCGGAAAUGAUGCCCAAUCAUCCUUCUGGUAUUAGCACUGGGUUGUGACUAUUCUCCGUUCUUUUAUGCUUUUCUCCAAUGCAUUUGAAACACAUUGUCUUGAUUAGAUAGAGUCCAAGGAUGAAAAUCUUCUGGGAACCAUAUUGAAUGAGUAAUAAAUUUAGCAUUUUUCCAAAGAGAUUUUGACACAUGGCAUUUAAGAAAUUCUAAGGUCAGAAUUUAAUUUAUUUACAAUUUUUUUUAUUUGACACUAAAAAUAUGAUGUUUUUAAAACUCAUAAAAGUUGCCAACUAAUAGAAAUUAAUUUCAUGUCAGUAUCUUCUUUCUCCUCUUUCUUUCAUGCAAUAAUCUUAAAAAAGAAUAACAAAAAAGGUUUUAGAAAAAACUAGGGUAAUUUUUAUCUGUCUUUAGUGAAUUUUUUUUUCUUUUUACAAUCAUCUUGGUAUCUUAAAUAAAUUAGAGUUAAAUAAAAUUUUAAAUUAUCUCUCUCCUCUUUUCUUAUAAAUGAACUUUGACAAUUAGAAAACUAGAUCAAAGUAUGCAAAGUUUUCAAUUAAAAAUGGUUAGAUCUGUUUCUUUGAUAUUAAAGGUACGGAGACCGAACAAAGAAUGGAAAAGGGAGAAGCAGUUUAAUUUUUUUUUAUAAAAAAAACAAGAAUAAUAAUCUAAUGUUGGCAUUAGAUAAUUUAAAAAAUGGCCAUUCUUCAAAUGUUGGCAUGUCGGUAAAUUCAUUGUUGUGGUUUUUCACUCAAUUUAAUUUCCAUAUGCCUGAAGAAGAAGUGCAAUUUUUAUGCAAGUUUGAGAAGCGAUAAACUAAGAAGCUGAAAAAGAAGUUUAAACUUAUGUUAGUGUAAAAUUUCAAUUAACCUAAAAAUGUUAGAUUUUGGUGUUUAAAUAGGAAAAUUGUAAACAAUUUAAUCUUAACCUUACGAUUUUUUAAAUGCUACGUGUUCAAAUCUAAGUUUGAAAAAAUGAUACACGUACAAAAUUAGAGAUAUGAAUUAGUUGUUUUUAAAUUUUCUAGUCUUUUAUCACUUUUGUCUCUAUUUUUGCCCUCCAUGUUUUACAUGUACAAAUCAUUCAUUAAUCCCAAGUUUAUACGUUCAAAUUCUUGUAUGGUCUAAUUGUUAUUACUUUUCAGUACUAAUUUUCCAUUUUGCAAAAACAGAUGAUAAAAGAAACGUGUUGGUAGUCGUCGCCAUUAUACAAAUGGUGUCCACUUUACAUCUCACCGUCCAUGAGACCCACCGAUAAUUUGACAACACUGAUUAUGCUUUUAACUCAUUAAUUCUUGUUCUUGUUGAAGCGUUUAGUAACUUAUAUGAUGAUUUGAUCAUAUCCCUAACAUUAACAUACCCCCAUAAUCCAUUAAUAAAAUUUAUUUAUUUCAUAAUUAUAUGAUGAUGAACGGUUUUUCAUUUUUCUGCGAAACAUAAGAACAAUUUGUAAAUAAUGUCCAGACCUUGUAAUAGCGAAGAAUCAUUUAUGGACAGAAUAGGUGAAAUAACAAAACAGCAUAAAUCAAGUCAUUAUUGAUCUUACUUUGAUGAUCGCACUUUAGUUUCUUUUUAAAGUGCCUUUUGUUUAUUUUAUCGGCAUCCGCUUUUACAAAAGUUUUGGUCCUCGUUCAUUCAUCAAAGCUUCUACUUUUAUCUUUUAUUAGGCAUCUUACAAAGCUUAAUUUAAUGGGAAUCAUGCUCAGCUCGAAGAUUGUUUUACUUACUUCAGCCAUCUUUCAAUCAACCGAAUUUAUUCUUUUCUGAUCUGGCAAUUAUUCAUGAAAAAAAUACGUGCGUACUAAUUUCGUCAUCAUCAUGGAGCCAUGGGAAAUCAAAUACUCCUAAACCCAAAUACUUAUCUGAUGCUGAUGAUGAUGAAAUGUGGCUACUCUGAUCAGCCUCCACCUCCACGUGCCCUGAUCUCUCCUCCUUCUUUGCAGCACUACGCUUCACAAACUUUUCUUUCUUUUCUUCUCCUCCUCCUCCUUCUUCUUCUCUUCCUCUCUUCUUGUUUUCCCAUUCCAUUUCGCAAUCACAAAGCCUUCUGCAAACACGCACAUCAUGUGUUAUAUAUAAUAGCCGGCUAGCUCGUUCAUUCGUACGUGCAUCAUGCAUGUGUCACCUCACCUUAUCAGGAAAUCGCAUAUUAACCUUGAAACUGGAAACAAAUUUACAACCCCCUGCUGCCGCAUCCGGCCAUCCCAUGCAUGCAUGAUGCAUUGCAUUGCAUUCAAGAAUAAUUAGACAGGAAAUGGAUUUCCAAAAUAUCAAUAAAUAAAUAAAAAGAUAGCAGUUCGGUAAUGAAUUGAAAUCAAUUGAACAUAUUUAUUAUUUUUCUUUUUACCAAAAGAACGAACGCAAGACAUGUAUGUAUGUACGUAAUUAAUACCUUUUGAGUUGUGAUGCUCGAUCUUAUUAAUCUUCUUAUGUUUCUGAGAGAAGACAGAAGGAAUACAGAAAUGAUUUAAUUAACCAAUAAAAAUGUGGGCCCACAAUAAAUUUAAAAAAAGCACUUGAACAGAGUUAUGCUUUUUUUGUUUUUUUCCUUGGACAAGGUCACAAGGGUUUUAACUUUUAACGAGGAUCUAAAACGACAGAGCACUCUCUUCAAAUCAUGAGGUUGUUUUGAUAUCUAUCUUCAUGAUUUCGAGAUUAGGUGGGGAUUUCGUUUUUUUAUUUUAUUAAUAUUUUAAUAUAACUGUAGGGCCAGUCAAUGAAAAAAAAAAUGAUAAGUCAAUGAAAACGGCAAGAAGUGGCUGCCGUUUCUAUCUUCAUUUUAUCGUUUGGGUGUUCAACUAUCAUUUUCCUUAGUAUAUAGCACUGAGUCUUUACAUUUUUCUAUAAUAUUCAAUAAUUUGUUGCAAUAUUAUUUUAUUUUUAAAUAUAUUUUAUUUAAAUUUAUUAUAAAUUAAAUUAAUUAUGUAAAUAAAAAUAAAAAUAAAAUAGUAAAAAUAACAUAUUUUAUAUUAAUAAUAAAAUAUUUUUAUUGUUUUUAUAAACUUUUUUUUCUUGAUAAAUGUUUAUUUUAUAUUCCUAAUGUCUAAUAUCACAUAAAUGACUCAUUUAUUCUUUUUUUCUUUUAAAAUUUUUAUAUUGGUGGAGUUAUUGGAUAUUAUAAAAAUAAUAAAAAAGUAAGUAGUGUAUAUUUAUUUGAGUAAGGAGAAACUAUCUUCAUUUUAUGUACAAAUAAUAUAAUAUAUAAAAUUAUUACUGGGGGCUCCAUUUUGUAAUUAAAAUUAUAUAAAUACAAUUGUUUCUCUCCUGUACAUUAUCUUUUAUAUUUUGACCUUUUUAUUUUCAGAUACUCCUUUAAAAAUAAAACUAUUAAACAUAUUUCUAAAUUUACCAGAAAUUAAUUACUUCUUUACAAUAAAACAAACACCAAAAAACACCAUUUUGAAAAACAAUAAAAAAAAAAAAAGCAUCCGAAAUUUUUGAGUGAAUCUUGACGUUGACUUGAGUCGUCUCCUAGACUAUUGGAUGAAACAUGAUGUAUGAUUGACUGAUCUGCAUCUCUUCAUCAUCUCAAGUUCUCUGAAGCCAUCAUCUCAGGUUACCUCUGUCUUGUUUUCAGCUUUUUCAUCUCAAGAGCACCUUAGUAGUCCAUCCUGUGAGUCGUAGCUGUUGUUUGAAAUUUGGUUUCUGCACAUCCUUAAUUUCUUCCUCCCAAAUCACAUCUCAUUUUUCCAUCUGAUUCUAUCCACCCUUUUCCUUGUGAUCACUGGUGUUUUGUUGUUCAUCUUUUUGUACCUUUUUUCCCUCUCUCAUUUCUCUGUACUGUAUCCCCAUACUUUUGUAGUUUCCCUCUGAUUUUCUCCACUCUUUUUUUUUUCAUAUUAGAUAAAACAGCCACACUUAUUUUCAACGUUUGAUCUCACGACCACUCUGCUUUUGUUCCCGCUUGUUGUUGUGACCUGGUGUUCUGUUCUGUAGAUUUGCUACUCAGUUUUAUUUCCCUUUGGUUUCCUUCGCAUCUGUUUCUCAAAACUUUAAAACAAAAAAGAAAAAAGGUUGAAAAUGGUUGAUGCUGUUGUUACCGUUGCUUUAGAAGUUGCCAAGUGCUUGUUCCCUCCGAUCGUGUGCCAGUUAAGUCAUGUACGUAAGUACAAAGCCAACCUUGAGAAUCUCAAGAAAGAAACUAAGAAGUUGACCGAUACAAGAGAUAGCAUGCGGAAAAAGGUUGAUGAUGCUAAAAGGAACGGGGAAGAGAUUGACCAAAGAGUUGAGAGUUGGCUGAUUAGUGUCGACAAGAUCAUUGCUGAGGCGGACACGUUAACUGGAGAAGAAGAACAUGCAAAUAAGAAAUGUUUCAAGGGGCUCUGUCCUAAUCUUAAGAAACGCUAUCAACUUAGCGAGAAAGCAGCCACAAAGGAGAAGAGCAUCGCUGAGCUCAAGGAAGAAGCUGAGAAAUUUGCUCAAAUUUCCUACCGUACUGUUGCAGAGGAGCCUUGGCUUAGGUCUGGCAAAGGUUGCGAGGCCUUUGCAUCAAGAACGUCGACUUUGAAGGAUGUGCAAAACGCAUUACUUGAUCCUGAUAUCAGCUUCAUUGGGGUGUAUGGGAUGGGGGGCGUUGGGAAGACGACCCUAGUGAAGGAAGUGGCUAGGCGAGCCAAAAAAGACAAGCUAUUUGACGAGGUAGUUUUUGCAGAAGUAUCUGAGGCUCCAGAUAUCGGAAAGGUUCAACGGGAACUUGCGGAUCAGCUAGGUGUGAAAUUUGAUGAGGAGAGUGAUGUACCUGGAAGAGCUAGGAAGCUUUAUGCACGGUUGCAGAACGAGAACAAGAUCCUCGUAAUUUUAGACAACAUUUGGGAAGAUCUUGAUCCGGAAAAAGUAGGAGUUCCUUCUGGAAAUGAUUGUAGGGGAUGUAAAGUCUUGCUGACAGCAAGAGAUCGUCAUGUGUUGGAGUGUAUUGGGUCCAAGACUAUAGGGAUUGAUGUUUUAAAUAACGAAGAAGCGUGGACUCUAUUCAAGAAGUUGGUGGGUGACUGUGCUGAAAAAGGCACAUUAAAAUCUAUAGCGACUGAUGUGGCUAAAGAAUGUGGAGGUUUGCCUAUUGCCAUCGUUACGCUGGCAAAAGCAUUAAGAAACAAGAGUAGUGUCUCUACGUGGAAAGAUGUCCUGAGGCAAUUGAAAAGGCCUUCCCAUCGGAACUUUGAAGGAGUGCUAGCGAAGACAUAUUCAGCUAUAGAAUUGAGUUACAAGUAUUUAAGAGACGAGGAGCUCAAGAAACUAUUUUUGCAGUGUAGUCUAAUGCGAUCCCCACAGGCUUCCAUGCUGGACUUGUUGAAAUAUGCAAUAGGUUUGGGUAUAUUGAAAGGCGUCAGUACAAUGGAAGAAGCACGAGAUAAAGUAAAUGCGUUGGUCGAUCAACUCAAAGAUGCUUGUUUGUUGCUUGACGGCACUAACAGCGAUUGGUUUUCUAUGCAUGACGUUGUUCGUGUUGUUGCCAUAGCAGUUGCAUCUAGAGACAGUCAUGUAUUUACAAUGAGAAACGAAGUUGAUACGAGGCAAUGGCCAGAUAAGCAUUUGCUAAAGAAGUGCUCAAGAAUAUCAUUAUACGACAAUAAUAUUAGUGAAAUUCCUCAAGGGUGGGAAUGCCCUCAGCUUGAGUUUUUCUGGAUUUCUGCCUCCGAAGAUUCUCCUCUCAAAAUCCCCGACAACAUUUUCAUCGGGAUGCCGAAGCUCAAAGUUUUAGAUUUUACUAGAAUGAGGUUACUGUCACUACCGUCGUCGAUUCAUCUCCUAACAGACCUUCGAACAUUGUGUCUGGAUGGUUGCCAAUUGGAAGACAUUAGAGUUAUUGGAGAGCUGAGGAAGCUAGAAAUUCUUAGCUUGCAGGCUUCUGUAAUUGAGCAAUUGCCUAUGGAGAUAGGCCAAUUGACUCAGCUAAAGUUGUUAGAUUUGAGCGAUUGUUACAAAUUAAAAGUGAUUGCACCAAAUGUUCUAUCAAACUUAUCUCAACUGGAAGAAUUGUACAUGGCUAAUUGUUGUAUUGAAUGGGAGGUUCCAGGACUCAGCAAUGAGAGAAGUAAUGCUAGCCUCGAUGAAUUGAAGAAUUUAUCUCGUUUAACCACUUUAGAGAUACGUAUUCUUGAUGCAGGGAUUCUACCGAGUGGCUUGUUCUCAAGAAAGCUGGAGAGGUAUGAAAUUUGCGUGGGGCAAGAUUUGUACUGGUAUGAUAUCUAUAAGACUCGGAGAACUUUGAAACUCAAGCUCAACUCUCGCAUUUGCUUGGGGGAGUGGCGAGGCAUGAAGAACGUGGAAUACUUAUGUUUAGACGAAUUGCCGGGUUUGACGAAUGUUCUUCAUGAUUUGGACGGGGAGGGUUUUGCAGAGCUGAAACAUCUGAAUGUCCAAAAUAAUUCGAAUUUUCUAUGUAUAGUUGAUCCGCUACAAGUACGUUGCGGUGCCUUCCCGAUGUUAGAGUCCGUGGUUCUUCAGAGUUUGAUUAAUUUGGAGAGAAUAUGUCAUGGUCAGCUCCGAGCAGAAUCUUUCUGCAAUUUGAAAACAAUAAAAGUGGGACGUUGUCAUAAAUUGAAAAAUUUGUUCUCAUUCUCCAUUGCCAAAUUCCUUCCCCAACUUGAAAGAAUUAAAGUGAUUCAGUGCAAAAAUGUAGAAGAGAUAUUUGUUUCUAGCAAUGACGAGGUGAUCGGUGAGAUUGCAUUGGCGCAAGUACGGUUCCUGAUUCUUAGAACUCUUCCACUGUUCACAAGCUUCUCCACAUUUGUCAGGACAACUUCUAAUGUGGAAGUAGAGCACAAUGAAAUCAUUUUGGAGAACGAGAACCACCUUUAUACUCCCUUGUCACUGUUUAAUGAAAAGGUAGGUGAACAAAACUUAUUCUCUUAUUUUAUUAAUGCUACUGCUAUCACAAGAACUCGUAUUGACAUAAGAACUCUGUGUGCAGAUCGUGCUUCCUAAAUUGGAGGUCUUGGAACUGCGGGAUAUUAAUGUUGCAAAGAUAUGGCACAAUCAACUUUCAGCAGCAAUCUCUUGUAGCGUUCAAAAUUUAACACGCUUGAUUUUGGUGGACUGCCGCAAAUUAAAAUACGUGUUUUCAUAUUCUAUAGCUAAAAGACUUGGGCAGCUUCAACACCUUGAGAUAUGCAGGUGCCCACAUUUGGAGGAAGUUGUUGGCAAGGAAAGUGGAGUGGAAGCGGAUCCUUCUUUUGUCUUUCCACGCUUAACAAUCCUGAAAUUUCGCUACCUACCAGCACUUAGAGCUUUCUAUCCUGGAGUACACACUCUGGAAUGUCCCGUGUUAACUAAGUUGGAAGUGUAUAUUUGUGACAAACUAGAAAGUUUCACUUCAGAAUUGUAUAGCCUCCACGAAAAUAAUGAGGAGGGCCAACUUAUUGAUGUGCCAGUGCCAGCGCCACGGCCCCUGUUCUUGGUUGAAAAGGUACGUGUCUCUUUUCUAUAAUAUAUGCUUUGUUUGUUUCAACAUUUAUUUUAUUUUAGUGACAACAAUCCAUAAUUAUAUUCUUCUUUGGAAUUUUUUGAGUGAACAUCAACUCCAACUUGUUUAUGUUUGAUUGGUCAUCAGGUCCUACCCAAUUUGGAGGAAUUGAGAUUAAGCAAGAACAAGGAUAUCGCAAAGAUAUGGCAGGGUCCGUUUACAGACCAUCUUUUAAACAAACUCGAAGUUCUGGCGAUUGAGAAUGAUGAAUCGGAAGUUUUAUCACCUGACUUACUCGAGAGAUUUCACAAUCUGGUCAAUCUCCAACUAGAACGUAGUUCUUACAAAGAGUUAUUCUCAAAUGAAGGGCAGGUUGAGAAACAUGUCGGAAAGCUCGCCCAGAUAAAACAUUUAAAGCUGAGGCGACUAAAUGAUCUAAAGCACCUGUGGCUGUGGGAACAAAACUCCAAAUUGAACACGGUUUUUCAAAAUCUUGAAACUCUAUCUGCACACUUUUGUCUUAAUCUGACAAAUCUAAUGCCUUCCUCUGCCUCUUUUCGGUGUCUGAAAGAACUGAGGGUAUGCGCUUGCGAGCAUCUGAUAAACUUGGUAGCAUCCUCGGCAGCAAAAAAUCUAGUGCAACUCGUACUUGUGUCGGUAAGUGAAUGCAGUAAAAUUACCGAGUUGGUGGUAGCAAGUGAGGGAGAUGCAGCAAACGACGAGAUUAUCUUCCCCAAAAUGAUGUUCUUGGAGCUUCAUCGUCUACAAAGUCUCACAACCUUCUGCUCUGCAAACUACACUUUUAAAUUCUUGUCUUUAUGGCGGUUAUCAGUGUCUGCUUGCCCCAAGAUGAAGAUUUUCUGCGGAGGAGUCUUUAGCGCACCAAGAUUAAAAAAAGUGUGUCUAAAUGGUCAAAAUUGUUGGGACGGUGACCUCAAUACAACCAUACAACUGUCGUAUUACAAAACGGUGCGUAUUCAUCAACCAAACCAUUUUUUGUUUUUUUUUUUUUCACUGGAGGAUUGUUUGUUUUUUAACCAUAUUUGUAUGGACUAUUUGAUUUGAAUUUUAUUAUUUAAUUUAAAUCUUUUUUAUUGAAAUUAAAAUUAAAUAUAUAAUUACAUAUUAUUAUAAUUAGAUAAUAUAAUAACAAACAGUACAAAAUUAUAUAUUUAUUUAUUUAUUUAUCGUAAAAAAAUUUAAAAGAAGUAGCAUUGUGUAUUUAAAUAGUUAAAAGGCACUACUAAUUUUAAUUAAAUAUUAAUUCGAUUCUCUUGUUUAUAAUAUUAUAUUUCACAUGUUAACACAUUAAGUUACAAUACAAUUUGAAAUUUACCAAUAUAAUUUGUUUAUUAUUGCAAUAAAGAUAAAAUAGUUUGAAUUAAUAUUCAGGGCUGACUUUCGAGUUUUUGGGGCCUUAGGUGAAUUUUUCUAGAAGGCCUCAUUUUUUCUGCAACUUAAAUACUCAAAGAAAUAUAAAAUAUCUCAAAGUCCGUUCUAUAUUUAGUUCUUGAAUUUCAACAAUAAUUAAGAAAAUCUUAAAAAAAAUUUAAAAUAAAAUAAAAUAAAUAAUGAAGAAGAUAGUUUUUUAACUUCCAUUAAAACCAUUACAAAACUAAACAAAUAAAUAAAUAAGAAAAAUACUAUUUUAAAAUAGGAUAUCCAUAAUUGUAUAGUACUAAAGAUGAAUUGAUGAUCAGAUAAUGUAUAUGGACUUUAUAUUUCAAGAAAUUAUUUUUUUCUUUUUUAAAUGAACUAAUGAAUGUAAUAAUUUUUUUUUUGUAGAUAAGACAUCGAGAAAUUGUUUUAUCUAUUGAUUUUUGAGAUUAUAAGGUUUUUAAUAGAAAUUAAGGAAUAGUAAAAGCCAAAGAUUCUAAUGUUAAAUAAUUAAGUUUUCUUAGAAAACUAAAAACGUAAAGAAUUUAAUUUUUUUCUUUGGAAAACUAAUAGUGGAUGAAUUAAUGGUUAGUCAAUAUUAUUAAUUAUAUCUCUUUAACACUAAGAUUAAUAAAAUAUAGAUAGGUUUUCCUACAAUAUGUAGUAAAAAAAUAUUUAUUAAUUAGAGAAUUAUUAAAGAAAUACUCAAAAGAUGAGAUUUUCUCAAAAUAUGGGGUCUUAGGCGACUGCCCCGUUCACCUAUACUUAAAGGUACCCUACUAAUAUCUAAACAUUUAGUACAAUCCUAUAAAAUAUUAUAAUGUGAGUUGGCUUCUCAAAUCUUACAUAUAUGUAUAUGUAUAUGUAUAUGUAUGUAUGUGUGUAUGUAUGUAUGUAUGUAUAUAUAUAUGUGUGUGUGUGUGUGUGUGUGUCUUUAGGGUUCAUCCUUUCACCUUAAAUUAAAAAUGUUGCUUUCUUUAUUAUUAUUAUUUUUUUUUUUUUUAAUUUCAGAAUGCUCAGAGUUCCACAAACGAUUCAGGUCAAUCUUCAAUGCACCAUCAGGAAUAAGACAAUUUCUCUAUGAUGUUUAUAAUCACGAGUUUUUCAUUGAAGAUCAUUUCCUUGGAUUGAAGUCAGGUGCGGACAAGCCCUUCUGUUUUUGUCUUCAUUGUUCUGUUUUGGCUCUCUUCAACUUUUGUGUUGCUGUUUUGAAAGUGUUAUUAUAAAACUUACAUUCCAUGUAAUCGAUUGAGAUUCAAUGGUUCAAUGGUCCUUACCAUUCAAAAGUUCAUGUAUAGUGUCAAAGGCUUCUUACCAUGACGAAGGCCGUUAUGUUUUCCCUUGUCAACUAUAUUUUUUCUGAGCUUUCAUCUUCUGAAAACUGCUAGUAGAAUGUCAAGUAAAUCAUUUGGUGCAUCAAACCUUAACACCAUUAAAAAAUUGCUGAAGUCUCAAGAGUAUUUUAGUAAUUUCAAGCUAAAGUUAUUUUCUUAGGUCCUUUAGAGAUUUUUAUCUUUUUCUUUGAACAUAUGAUUUACAAGUUUUUUUUUUCCUUUAUUUCAGUUAUUAUAUUAAAUUGGUAACAAUUGUAAUAUUAGGUGGCAAAAUAUGGUUGUCAAAAAACUUUGGUAAUCUAACAUUUAGUCCAUUUACUUGUUUUAUUUUAAUUUAUUUAAUGUUAAAAUCACAUGCAUACAAUGCACAUGACAUUACUAGGAAUCCAGUCUUUUACAGAGUAUGGUAAUAUGUGUAGAUGAGGGCAUCGGAUUAAAUGUAGUUGCUUCUCUUGGUUACGUGGAGCAAUUAGUUAUCCAGCUCAGCAGCAAAGCUAACGAACUGAAUAACAUGUAUAAUAGUUAUAACAAACUAUUAGUUACUAGAUUCUUCUUCCUUCUAGUAUAAAUAUUAAGCUGCAAUCAUUUGUUUAUAUAAUGGAAAAGAUGAACAAGUUCCUGAUUCUUCCAUCAUCUCUUUCAUCAUAACUUUCUAUCAUUUUCUCGUUUAUUUUCUCUUGUGCCAAACACACAUUACAAAAUCUUUCACAGUCCAAUUCUAGUACCACAACAGAACGUGUGCUUAUGUCUCAUUAGAAAAGUUAGUCUGAGAAAUUUAGAGCAUAAAUGAACUAAGUAGCACAUCAUUAAUCUGAUGCUCUUCAUGAUUACAGAAUGUUCAGACUUUCGAAGAAGAUUCAGGUCAGCCUUCAAUUCAGAAUCCGGAAUAAGGCCAUUUCUCUAUGACAGUUUAUGAGUUUAUCAUUGAAGAAUCUUCACUUUCUGUGUUGCUCUUCUAGAAGUGUCAUUACAUUUCCUUCAUGUAAUAGUUCGAGAUUCAAUGGUCGAAAGGCCCUCAAUUAGUAUUAAUAAUUUUCUGGUUGCAGCAGUACGUUGUAUUUCCUUGUGAUUGAAUUUCUGGAGUUCUAUUCUUUUAGAAUUGAUAAAUUCAAAGGGGAUGCUGGUGUCUAGUGGUCUUGGUGCUAUUGUUAGAAAUACCAGUGGGGACAUUAUGCUUGCAGCAGUAAAGACCUAUAAAUUUUUGGGAUAACGAAUUCUCAGAGGCAGAGGCUCUUAGACUUGAAUUUUGGGAUUUAAGUAAGCUCCAAUCUGAUGCUAAGACUUUUGUGAAAGGAAACGAUCCGAGUCAAAAGCAAAAUCUUCAGAAGGAAUUGUUAGGAGUAAUGAUUAUUUUACUGUCAAAUGUAUUUCAAGAAGCUGUAAUGAAACAACUCAUAGACAUGAACUUUACAAUGAACAUUGUAAAUUAAGCAUCCUCCAUAUACGGAAAUGGAAAGGAACCCAUCUGUAUAUAUGUCAUACUUCCACGCAUCAUAUAUUCUUAUCUUAAUUCAAAUCUGAAUAUUGUCAAAUUUAGACGUACGGAUCUGAGCACCACUUUUGUAAAUGUAUUCAAAGUAGUUUACGUAUAUAUAAUUCGAGAGUAGAAUUGGAGAUUUAUGGCAAAACGCAUAGAUACAUUUUAAUUAACAGUUGCACAAAUAUACAUUUUAAUAAACACUUUAAUGGAUCAAGGUAUGACCGCCGUACGAGAAGUGAAUGAGUUAAUUUCUUUGCAACUUUUACCUCUAAGCCAUUUGAGAACCAUUAUGUUUUCCACUGAGUUAUCAAAAAAUCAUCGUUUUGCUAAUAAAAUGUUUUCUCUUUUUCUUCAAGGAAAAAACAUCAGGCUCCCAGUCCCAAUACAAUGUUGAAGUUAACAGCACCUGCCAGACUCUACUUAACAAACACAGAAGCAACAAAAAUAAAACCAAAACAUUUUUCUUUUGUUUCCCCACAAACCCGUCUUCAAUUCACAACACAACAACAACAACAAAAUCAGCAACACUUGUUGUCUAUCCUACAAAAGAGCCCAUCAUCAAACAACGUUACCACCCAAAUCCACUCUCACUUACUUACCACUAACUCACUGCUACACCACACACUACUCUUCAACACUCUUCUUCACUUCUACUCGCUCGCUGACUCACCUCAAAAAGCUUUCUUGCUCUACAAACAACUUCAACAAAUUUACACACACUCUCACUCUCCAUUGCGCCCUCUCUUUGACAGCUUCACUUACUCUUUCCUUAUAAGGACCUGCGUUACUUCAAGCUAUCCUAACUUGGGUACCCAGCUUCGUGCUGUUAUUUCAAAAGUGGGCUUUCAAUCUCAUGUUUAUGUAAACACCGCCUUAGUUAAUAUGUAUGUCUCUUUAGGGUUUUUGAAGGACAGUUCCAAACUGUUCGAUGAAUUGCCGGAAAGAAAUUUGGUUACGUGGAAUGUUAUGAUCACUGGUUUAGUGAAAUGGGGUGAGCUAGACUAUGCCCGUUCUCUCUUUUGUCGUGGACAGGGAUUAUAGAUGGUUACACCAGGAUGAAUCGGUCUAAUGGGGCGUUAGCUUUAUUUUGAAGAAUGGUUGCGUGCGAAUAUACAGAAACUAGUGAGAUAACUAUUUUGGCUGUUUUACCGGCUAUUUGGCAAAAUGGGGCUGUUAGGAAUUGUCAAUUGAUUCAUAGGUAUGGUGAGAAAAGGGGGUUUAAUGCAUUUGAUAUACGUGUCUCAAAUUGUUUGAUCGAUACUUAUGCAAAAUGUGUGUGCAUAUUUAGUGCCUUAAAACUCUUUGAGGAUACAUCGGUUGAGAGGAAAAAUUUGGUGUCUUGGACAUCGAUAAUAUCUGGGUUUGCAAUGCACGGGAUGGGGAAAGAAGCAGUAGAAAAUUUUGAGAGGAUGCAGAAAGUUGUUUUGAAACCAAACAGAGUAACAUUCUUGAGUGUUUUGAAUGCUUGUAGUCAUGGAGGAUUGGUCGAGGAGGGGCUGAAGUUUUUUGAUAAGAUGGUUGAGGAGUGUGAAGUUCUGCCAGAUAUAAAGCAUUAUGGGUGUUUAAUAGACAUGUUGGGAAGGGCUGGGAGGUUAGAACAAGCGGAGAAGGUUGCUUCGGGGAUACCAAGUGAGAUUACUAAUGUUGUUGUUUGGAGGACCCUUUUGGGUGAUUGUAGCUUUCACGGUAAUGUGGAGAUGGGUGAGAGGGUGACAAGGAAGAUAUUGGAAAUGGAGAGAGGAUAUGGAGGGGACUAUGUGCUUAUGUAUAACAUCCUUGCUGGGGUUGGGCGGUAUGGAGAUGCCGAGAGGUUGAGGAGAGUCAUGGAUGAGAGGAAUGCCCUCAAAUUUCCUGGCCGUAGUUUGGUCUAGUUAAUGCUGAAGUUGAAUGGUAGCGAUCUGGAUAGAUGGUCCCUUAUUCCUUUCCUUUUCAAGACCUACAUCGGCAAGGCACCUGAGAUGUUGCUAUUGCCAAAGUUCUUUCAGCUUGUGAAAAGCAGCCUCUUUUUUAACUUCAUUGAAGAAGGUAGGCUAUUCCCGUUCUGUACAUUUAGUUUUUGUUUCCUAUUUAACAUUCGGCUCAAACAGCAAAAGAGAGUUGAUCCUUUUGUUUUUUUAUUCAAUUUUAUGAUUCUGACAGAGUUGCAAAGUUUUUCGUGUAGCACCCAUUCUGAUGGAGUUACAAUGUUUUUUGUCCUCUUUAUUGUUCAGAUGGAUCGAUUUUUGGUAAAAUUAAUAAACUGUUCUUAUUUUUUCUUUGGCUUUUGCUCUUUUAGCUUUGUUGAAAACGGCAAAGAGAAAUGAUUCAUAGGCUAGCUCUUCAGUUUGUCCGAGCUAGGAUUUCCGAAUUCAAAAGCCAAUACAUAUUUAUUUGCUUUUUAUCAUUGUUUAUCUUAUUUUAUUUUAGUGUUUUGGUAUGUUUGAUUUUCAAUGUGAAAGUCAAUAGCUUACUAGUUAGUUACUACCAAGAAUUUAGGUCCCCGUAGUGGAGGCGUUUCAAAGUUCAAAGCAUUUUGCAUAUUUCAAUUUGACUCCUUUUUCAUACUUUAUCAUUCAACUAGAUAAAUUUACAGAUAGAAUUUUCCAACUGCGAAGAACAGCUAAGUCAUUCCUUUUUGGUUCAUUUCUGGCGGGUAAAGGACUUUUCCAAGUUUCAAAGAUGAAUAAUGAAAAAAAAAUCUUUUACCAGCUAUGUCGACCUUAAAAUAUAGGCCAUGAAAGAUCUCGUAGCUGUCCUGACACUUAUUUCGAAAUGACAAGCUCAGAAAACACCAGGACCAAAACCUCAACCUAUUCCUAGAAGCUGAGAAUGUGAAGAAAUGGAGAAAUCUUGGAGAGCUUAGGCAGCUUCCGAGAAGGCAAUGACUGAAAAGUAUUUCGCUGCACUCAGGACGGCCAGGACUAUUAGGUCUCAGCUGAAGAAAGGUGCCGCACCAAUGCAACAAAUAAGCACCUCACUCUCUCAGGCUGCAGAGAAGGAACCCCAAUUUACAGGACCCCCUUUUCUGUUACUAAUGGCUUUGGGGGGGGGAAUUAAAGAAGCUUCCGAUGGAGUUCCAAGGACUGAGGCAGAAAAUGAUGACCAUGUAUAUCUGUUGAGAAAAGGUAAUUUAAUGUGACAGGAGAGAUCUCAAAUGAGGAUACAAUUGAGAAAACCAUCUGUUAUGGUGGAGAUUCUGGAUAGGCGUGACACGGACAUAGAGAUUAAGAAAAGAUUGUUGGAGCUGUAUCAAAUUUUCUUGGACAUGACUGUAAAGGUGGACGUCAAGACUUUGAAGCACAACUGGAGAAGCAGCAGGAAGUAGUUUGCUUGGGGAACAUACUUCUGGUGUUGACCAUUCUUUUGAUUGUUAUCAGUUUUUGAAUUGUAUCGGAAAUGAUGCCCAAUCAUACUUUGUAGUUUUCUCUGCUUUGAAAGUCCUUGUAUUAGGACUGGGUUGUGACUAUUCUUCGUCCUUGUAUCUUUUCUCCAAUUCAUUUGAAAUACAUUGUCCUGAUUAUAUAGCCUAAGGAUGAAAAUCUUCUGGGAACCAUAUUGAAUGAGUAAUAAAUUUAGCAUUCAAGUGAUAAUGAAUGAAAGAAACAAUGAAUGAAGACUAGGUUGACCGGGAAUGUAAAUGCAGAAAAAUAGCAGAUCUGCUAUUGAAAAAAAUGAUAUCACAUGAGGUCACUCCUUAGAACUUUGAAUUGAGACGAGAAGAGAGAGCUCUGAAGAAAGAUUGAUAAAGUAAGCUCCAUUGGACAGAUUGUUAAUUUUCUUCUGUACAUGAAAAGUGUCAACAUUAAUUGCUUUAUGCAUUGCAGAUGACACCAUCUAGCAUCUAAUGCCGAAUCCCCAAUAUUACGGCAAAGCCAAAAAGAAGCAAAAGUGCACCAUUUCCUCCAGGCAGGAUAGAUGACCGGUAGAAUCCAAACAUGCAGCCGGUUAUAAUCAAGAAAAGAUAGACAUGGAGAAACUACGACCAUUCAAUCAAGUUUGCAUAUAUAUAUAUAUAUGGUAAUGUUAUUAUUUAAUAUUAUUUACAUACCAUGAUAUUGAUAUAUAAUAUUAUUUGCAUAUAAAUAAUUAAAACUUCAAUGUUUAAUAUUUUAGACUCACUGUGUGUAUGUAUAAAAAAACAUUUGUUAGAUUAUUAAUAAUUUGUUUAUUUUUUAUGUUGGGUUUGUAUCUCAAUAUUUCAACAUAAUUAUUAAUUGAGUCAUAUUUGCAUUGACCUAAAUUUGAUAACACGACACUGUGACCUAUUACUUUAUUUCUACCUUUUUUUAAUUUUAAGAUACUAUUUUAAAAAUAAAACUAUAAACAUAUUUUUAAAUUUACCAAAAAUCAAUUAUUUCUUACUAUAAAACAUACAAAAUUAUAAUAAUUUGAGAAUAAUGAUUGAUUAAUAAGGAUUGAGUCAAUUAAUUUUUGUGUUGAUUUACAAUAAAUUUUUAUGUUGAUUUACAAUCAAUAUUUUUUAGUUAAUAUUUAAAAUAGAUACAAUCGAUGAUUUGAUUGAUUGUAUUGACUGAUUGAUUGUUUUUCGCUGUACAAACUUAACUUCUCAAUAUAUAUAUAUAUAUAUAUAUAUAUAUAUAUAUAUAUAUUUUUUUUUUUUUUUUUUUUUAACACUUAAAUCAAAUUUAGAUCCCUAUGUAAUUUCGGAGGGUAUUGGGAGAGGGCUGUACAACUUAAAAUGUCCAUCGUUUCUACACUUAAAAUUUCCAUCGUUUCUACACUUAAAAUUUCCAUCGUUUCUUCUUAUCAUGAGUCUGUUGACAAGUGCGGCAGCGUUUGACGAAGAACACGCAGGACUCCUCGUGCUUUCUACCUAUUUAUCAAAUGUUUAAUGAAUGAUUAAUGCUCGAAAGACAUCGAGGCCUUACCACAGUGUCGAUGCCACCACUGGCUUUAACAUUGCUCCAUCUUUCAUUUUCACGUUUACUUUUCAAAAGAGGAAAGCAGAUUAAAUUCAAGGAAACUUGGCCAAAGACUAUUAGAUCAAACGAUUUGAAUCCUCCCGACUUAAUUUUUCCAAAGAGAUUUUGACACAUGACAUUUAAGAAAUUCUAAGGUCAGAAUUUAAUUUAUUUACAAUUUUCCUUAUUUGACACAAAAAAAAAAAAAUGAUGUUUUUAAGACUCAUAGAAAUUGCUAACUAACAGAAAUUAAUUUCAUGUCAGUAUCUUCUUUCUCCUCUUUCAUUCAUGCAAUAAUCUUAAAAAAGAAUCAUAAAAAAAGGUUUUAGAAAAAAACUAGGAUAAUUUUUAUCUCUUUCUUU